AUUGAACGCUGGCGGCAGGCCUAACACAUGCAAGUCGAGCGGAUGAGUGGAGCUUGCUCCAUGAUUCAGCGGCGGACGGGUGAGUAAUGCCUAGGAAUCUGCCUGGUAGUGGGGGACAACGUUUCGAAAGGAACGCUAAUACCGCAUACGUCCUACGGGAGAAAGUGGGGGAUCUUCGGACCUCACGCUAUCAGAUGAGCCUAGGUCGGAUUAGCUAGUUGGUGAGGUAAAGGCUCACCAAGGCGACGAUCCGUAACUGGUCUGAGAGGAUGAUCAGUCACACUGGAACUGAGACACGGUCCAGACUCCUACGGGAGGCAGCAGUGGGGAAUAUUGGACAAUGGGCGAAAGCCUGAUCCAGCCAUGCCGCGUGUGUGAAGAAGGUCUUCGGAUGGUAAAGCACUUUAAGUUGGGAGGAAGGGCAGUAAGUUAAUACCUUGCUGUUUUGACGUUACCAACAGAAUAAGCACCGGCUAACUUCGU
rnacentral:rRNA from 1 species